GCGCUUGCUUCGGCAGCACGUAUACUAAAAUUGGAAUGAUACAGAGAUGAGUAUGGCCCCUGUGCAAGGAUGACAUGGAAACCUGUGAAGCCUUCCAUAUUUUU